UUCCGGUUGAUCCCGCCGGAGGUUACUGCUAUCGGGGUCCGACUAAGCCAUGCGAGUCGAGAGGGGUAAGCCCUCGGCAUACUGCUCAGUAACACGCGGAUAACCUGCCCUUGGGUCCGGGAUAACCCCGGGAAACUGGGACUAAUACCGGAUAGAUCAGAGAUACUGGAAUGUUCUCUGGUCCAAAACUCCGGUGCCCAAGGAUGGGUCUGCGGCCUAUCAGGUAGUAGUGGGUGUAACGUACCUACUAGCCAGCGACGGGUAAGGGUUGUGAGAGCAAGAUCCCUGAGAUGGAUUCUGAGACAUGAAUCCAGGCCCUACGGGGUGCAGCAGGCGCGAAAACUUUACACUGCGGGAAACCGCGAUAAGGGGACCCCGAGUGCCAGCACCUAGUGCUGGCUGUCCUACUGUCUAAAUAACAGUGGUUAGCAAGGGCCGGGCAAGACCGGUGCCAGCCGCCGCGGUAACACCGGCGGCCCGAGUGGUAACCGUUUUUAUUGGGUUUAAAGGGUCCGUAGCCGGCUUAUUAAGUCUCUUGGGAAAUCUGGCGGCUCAAUCGUCAGGCGUCCAAGAGAUACUGGUAGGCUUGGGACCGGGAGAGGUGGGAGGUACUCCAGGGGUAGGGGUGAAAUCUCGUAAUCCUUGGGGGACCACCGAUGGCGAAGGCAUCCCACCAGAACGGGUCCGACGGUGAGGGACGAAAGCUGGGGGCACGAACCGGAUUAGAUACCCGGGUAGUCCCAGCUGUAAACGAUGCUCGCUAGGUGUCAGGUGCGGUGCGACUGCAUCUGGUGCCGCAGUGAAAACUUGAAGCGAGUCACCUGGGAAGUACGGUCGCAAGGCUGAAACUUAAAGGAAUUGGCGGGGGAGCACUACAACGGGUGGAGCCUGCGGUUCAAUUGGAGUCAACGCCGGG
rnacentral:rRNA from 1 species